CUCAAGGGACAAGGAGAAGGGUGGGAGAGAGAGGGAGGGAAGGGAGGAAAGAGGAGACGGCAGAGCAGGACCUCUCCCUAACACCCCAGUCCCCCCUCCAGGCGAGUGCUUACCCAGUGACAGCCCAUUUUUCUUCUGCAGGACAUCCCUGUAGAAGUUCUGCUGCGUGUGGUCCAGCCGUCCCCACUCCUCCCGGGAGAGGUACAAGGCCACAUCCUCGAAAGUCACUGGCAUCUGAAACAAUGUGAAACAUCCACUCUCCAGGACAUGACGUGGACACGGUGGAGGGACACCAUGGCAUGAGAUGUGUGGUGAGACCCCGGACUCCCAACCCACUGUGUCGAGUGAGGCCUGCCACUUCCAUCUGAUCGGGAAGCAGGUACCGCCUCCCCCAGCUUAGAAGGCAUUUCCUGAUGAGGAUGUCCACGAUCUGGAACCUAGAAAGGACAGCCCCAUCAGCACCCAGAUGAGUGGGAGAGACACCCAGGGCCACAUGGCAGUGCGCUCCGGCAGCGUCGGAAACCAACAUGCAAGACGCAGCUUGAAGGACUGUCCUUGCUGCAUUCAUCCAGCUCACCCCAGCAAGGACGGGCGGCAAGAGGAGGAAUAUUCACCAAGCCGCCUCCACAGUGCCGGUGGGCGUGGUGCCCAAGGGCAGCUACCCCUUCUCAGCUCCAGCCUCACACUGACCUCAGCAGUGUAGACUGCUGUCUAUUAGUGUAUGAAGAAACCAAGUGUAGUGGCUUGAAUAGUGUCCUCUAAGAAUCCGUGUCCUCCCUGGACCUCAGAAUGGGA
rnacentral:lncRNA from 10 species